UACGGGGGGGGGCAAGCGUUGUUCGGAAUUACUGGGCGUAAAGAGCUCGUAGGUGGUUUGUCGCGUUGUCCGUGAAAACUCACAGCUCAACUGUGGGCGUGCGGGCGAUACGGGCAGACUGGAGUACUGCAGGGGAGACUGGAAUUCCUGGUGUAGCGGUGGAAUGCGCAGAUAUCAGGAGGAACACCGGUGGCGAAGGCGGGUCUCUGGGCCGAUAUUGACGCUGAGGAGCGAAAGCGUGGGGAGCGAACAGG
rnacentral:rRNA from 1 species